rnacentral:rRNA from 1 species
GAUGAACGCUGGCGGCGUGCCUAAUACAUGCAAGUCGAGCGAACAGAUGAGGAGCUUGCUCCUCUGACGUUAGCGGCGGACGGGUGAGUAACACGUGGAUAACCUACCUAUAAGACUGGGAUAACUUCGGGAAACCGGAGCUAAUACCGGAUAAUAUAUUGAACCGCAUGGUUCAAUAGUGAAAGACGGUUUUGCUGUCACUUAUAGAUGGAUCCGCGCCGCAUUAGCUAGUUGGUAAGGUAACGGCUUACCAAGGCAACGAUGCGUAGCCGACCUGAGAGGGUGAUCGGCCACACUGGAACUGAGACACGGUCCAGACUCCUACGGGAGGCAGCAGUAGGGAAUCUUCCGCAAUGGGCGAAAGCCUGACGGAGCAACGCCGCGUGAGUGGUGAAGGUCUUCGGAUCGUAAAACUCUGUUAUUAGGGAAGAACAAAUGUGUAAGUAACUAUGCACGUCUUGACGGUACCUAAACAGAAAGCCACGGCUAACUACGUG